ensembl:snoRNA
GGGACUUAUUGGUGGCAUAUGAGGCAUGUACAGUGCAUGUGUGUCUGGAACUCUGAGGUCCAG